AACUUUCGACAAUGGAUCUCUUGGCUCUCGCAUCGAUGAAGAACGCAGCGAAAUGCGAUAAGUAAUGUGAAUUGCAGAAUUCAGUGAAUCAUCGAAUCAUUGAACGCACCUUGCGCUCCUUGGUAUUCCGAGGAGCAUGCCUGCUUGAGUGUCAUUUAAUUCUCAACCUUCCAACUUUUAUUAGCAUGGUUAGGCUUGGAUGUGGGGGUUGCGGGCAUCAUUAACGAGGUCGGUUCUCCGUAAAUGUAUUAGCGGAACGUUUGUGGACCGUCUAUUGGUGUGAUAUUUAUCUACGCCGUAGAUGUGAAGCAGCUUUAUGAAGUUCAGCUUCUAAUCGUCGCUUGACUUGGACAAUUCUUGACAAUUUGACCUCAACUCAGGUAUGACUGCCCGCUGAACUUAAGCUUAUCAAUAAGCGGUGGCU
rnacentral:misc_RNA from 1 species